rnacentral:lncRNA from 1 species
CGAAAUACAGAUCCACCAAACCAUUUACGCUGAAAAUUAAUUUACUUCAAUUCCACUCUUCCAGUAUCCUUCUUCGUCCCUAAUAACAUCGAUUCCUAACUGUUCAAAAAUCACCCUCUCUUCAUCGAUUUCAUCUUCCUUUAUCCGAAACUGUUCAUCAUCUUCGCAUUCGUCUUCAGCAACCCAAUUUUUUUUCUUCAUCUUCUUCUCCUUCAUCUUAACAGUUUCAAUAUUUCUCUGCAAACCAACAAAAACAGAGACCCAUGACAACAUCGCACCAGACCCAUCAUCAUCAC